rnacentral:rRNA from 1 species
AUUGAACGCUGGCGGCAGGCUUAACACAUGCAAGUCGAGCGGAGAUGAGGUGCUUGCACCUUAUCUUAGCGGCGGACGGGUGAGUAAUGCUGAGGAAUCUGCCUAUUAGUGGGGGACAACAUUCCGAAAGGAAUGCUAAUACCGCAUACGUCCUACGAGAGAAAGCAGGGGAUCUACGGACCUUGCGCUAAUAGAUGAGCCUAAGUAGGAUUAGCUAGUUGGUGGGGUAAAGGCCUACCAAGGCGACGAUCGGUAGCGGGUCUGAGAGGAUGGGCCGCCACACUGGGACUGAGACACGGCCCAGACCCCUACGGGAGGCAGCAGUGGGGAAUAUUGGACAAUGGGGGGAACCCUGAUCCGGCCAUGCCGCGUGUGUGAAGAAGGCCUUAUGGUUGUAAAGCACUUUAAGCGAGGAGGAGGCUACUGAGACUAAUACUCUUGGAUAGUGGACGUUACUCGCAGAAUAAGCACCGGCUAACUCUGUGCCAGCAGCCGCUGUAAUAC